UACGGAGGGUGCAAGCGUUAUCCGGAUUUACUGGGUUUAAAGGGUGUGUAGGCGGGCUAUUAAGUCAGUGGCGAAAUCUCCGGGCUCAACCUGGAAACUGCCAUUGAUACUAUUAGUCUUGAAUUCUGUUGAGGUGGGCGGAAUAAAUCAUGUAGCGGUGAAAUGCAUAGAUAUGAUUUAGAACACCAAUUGCGAAGGCAGCUCGCUAAACAGAUAUUGACGCUGAGGCACGAAAGCGUGGGGAUCAAACAGG
rnacentral:rRNA from 1 species